GCCUCCGGACUUCUCUGGGGCCAGCAGCCGCCCGACCAGGGGCCCGGGGCCGCGGGCUCAGCCGACGACCAUGGGCUCCGUGUCCAACCAGCAGUUUGCAGGUGGCUGCACCAAGGUGGCGGAGGAGGCACCCGAGGAGGCGCCGGAGGACACGACCCGGGCGGCAGACGGGCCGCAGCUGCUGCACGGUGCCGGUAUCUGCAAAUGGUUCAACGUGCACAUGGGGUUUGGCUUCCUGUCCAUGACCAUCCGCGCCGGGGUCUCGCUCGACCCCCCGGUGGACGUCUUUGUGCACCAGAGUAAGCUACACAUGGAAGGCUUCCGGAGCCUGAAGGAAGGCGAGGCAGUGGAGUUCACCUUUAAGAAGUCUGCCAAGGACCUGGAAUCUAUUCGUGUCACUGGACCUGGUGGGGUGUUCUGUAUUGGGAGUGAGAGGCGGCCAAAGGGAAAGAACAUGCAGAAGCGCGGAUCAAAAGGAGACAGGUGCUACAACUGUGGAGGUCUAGACUAUCAUGCCAAGGAAUGCAAGCUGCCACCUCAGCCCAAGAAGUGUCACUUCUGCCAGAGCAUCAGCCAUAUGGUAGCCUCAUGUCCACUGAAGGCCCAGCAGGCCCCUAGUACACAGGGAAAGCCAGCCUACUUUCGUGAGGAAGAAGAAGAAAUCCACAGCCCUGCCCUGCUCCCAGAGGCCCAGAAUUGAGCCACAUUGGGCAGUGGCUAUUCUUUUGCUAUGAGAACGUUUCAAGGAAGAGGCAGAGUGGAGAAAGUGGGAAUACGGUGGGUCGGGGCCAGCUGGCACUGCCAUGUAUCUUAGGCCGCGGUUCACAGUAUCACCCCUUCUUCCCUCUUGGUGGGGAGAAGGAGUGAGGCAAAGGAACUCCAACCAUGCUCUGUCCAAAUGC